rnacentral:rRNA from 1 species
AAUCAACGCUGGCGGCGUGCCUCAGACAUGCAAGUCGAACGAUUAAAGCUCUCUUCGGAGAGUGCAUAAAGUGGCGCACGGGUGAGUAACACGUAAGUAAUCUACCUUCGAGUGGGGAAUAACGUCCGGAAACGGACGCUAAUACCGCAUAACGCAGCGGCAUCGCAAGAUGACAGUUGUUAAAGAUUUAUCGCUUGAAGAGGAGCUUGCGGCAGAUUAGCUUGUUGGUAAGGUAACGGCUUACCAAGGCUACGAUCUGUAUCCGGUCUAAGAGGACGGUCGGACACACUGACACUGAAUAACGGGUCAGACUCCUACGGGAGGCAGCAGUCGGGAAUUUUGGGCAAUGGGGGAAACCCUGACCCAGCAACGCCGCGUGAAGGAUGAAGUAUUUCGGUAUGUAAACUUCGAAAGAAUAGGAAGAAUUAAUGACGGUACUAUUUAUAAGGUCCGGCUAACUACGUGCCAGCCGCCGCU